AGCGAACGCUGGCGGCAGGCCUAACACAUGCAAGACGAACGGAUCCUUCGGGAUUAGUGGCGGACGGGUGAGUAACACGUGGGAACGUGCCCUUUGGUUCGGAACAACUCAGGGAAACUUGAGCUAAUACCGGAUGUGCCCUUCGGGGGAAAGAUUUAUCGCCAUUGGAGCGGCCCGCGUCUGAUUAGCUAGUUGGUGAGGUAACGGCCCACCAAGGCGACGAUCAGUAGCUGGUCUGAGAGGAUGAUCAGCCACACUGGGACUGAGACACGGCCCAGACUCCUACGGGAGGCAGCAGUGGGGAAUCUUGCGCAAUGGGCGAAAGCCUGACGCAGCCAUGCCGCGUGAAUGAUGAAGGUCUUAGGAUUGUAAAAUUCUUUCAGCGGGGACGAUAAUGACGGUACCCGCAGAAGAAGCUCCGGCUAACUUCGUG
rnacentral:rRNA from 1 species